AAACGCCUAUCCACUCCUGCNGUCGAAGANCUCUUCGGAGUUAGUGGCGGACGGGUGAGUAACACGUGGGAACGUGCCUUUAGGUUCGGAAUAACUCAGGGAAACUUGUGCUAAUACCGAAUGUGCCCUUCGGGGGAAAGAUUUAUCGCCUUUAGAGCGGCCCGCGUCUGAUUAGCUAGUUGGUGAGGUAAUGGCUCACCAAGGCGACGAUCAGUAGCUGGUCUGAGAGGAUGAUCAGCCACAUUGGGACUGAGACACGGCCCAAACUCCUACGGGAGGCAGCAGUGGGGAAUCUUGCGCAAUGGGCGAAAGCCUGACGCAGCCAUGCCGCGUGAAUGAUGAAGGUCUUAGGAUUGUAAAAUUCUUUCACCGGGGACGAUAAUGACGGUACCCGGAGAAGAAGCCCCGGCUAACUUCGUGCCAGCAGCCGCGGUAAUACGAAGGGGGCUAGCGUUGCUCGGAAUUACUGGGCGUAAAGGGAGCGUAGGCGGACAUUUAAGUCAGGGGUGAAAUCCCGGGGCUCAACCUCGGAAUUGCCUUUGAUACUGGGUGUCUUGAGUAUGAGAGAGGUGUGUGGAACUCCGAGUGUAGAGGUGAAAUUCGUAGAUAUUCGGAAGAACACCAGUGGCGAAGGCGACACACUGGCUCAUUACUGACGCUGAGGCUCGAAAGCGUGGGGAGCAAACAGGAUUAGAUACCCUGGUAGUCCACGCCGUAAACGAUGAUUGCUAGUUGUCCGGAUGCAUGCAUUUCGGUGACGCAGCUAACGCAUUAAGCAAUCCGCCCGGGGGAGUACGGUCGCAAGAUUAAAACUCCAAGGAAUUGACGGGGGCCCGC
rnacentral:rRNA from 1 species